AAGAGUUUGAUCAUGGCUCAGAGUGAACGCUGGCGGUAGGCCUAACACAUGCAAGUCGAACGGCAGCACAGUAAGAGCUUGCUCUUAUGGGUGGCGAGUGGCGGACGGGUGAGGAAUACAUCGGAAUCUACUUUUUCGUGGGGGAUAACGUAGGGAAACUUACGCUAAUACCGCAUACGACCUUCGGGUGAAAGCAGGGGACCUUCGGGCCUUGCGCGAUUGAAUGAGCCGAUGUCGGAUUAGCUAGUUGGCGGGGUAAAGGCCCACCAAGGCGACGAUCCGUAGCUGGUCUGAGAGGAUGAUCAGCCACACUGGAACUGAGACACGGUCCAGACUCCUACGGGAGGCAGCAGUGGGGAAUAUUGGACAAUGGGCGCAAGCCUGAUCCAGCCAUACCGCGUGGGUGAAGAAGGCCUUCGGGUUGUAAAGCCCUUUUGUUGGGAAAGAAAAGCAGCGGGCUAAUACCCAGCUGUUCUGACGGUACCCAAAGAAUAAGCACCNNCUAA
rnacentral:rRNA from 1 species